UUGAAGGGGACCAGAGUAGGCGUGGGUGUUCAGAUCUGUGUGGAUCAGCCCCAGCCUGACAGUAGCAGUGGUUUUACUUGUAGCAACAGAUAAAUCUAUCACUAACUUCCCAAGAUGAUGAAAAGCAAAACACUUUUCUAGUGAACUAGAGAAUACUGGGAAGUUUCCAUAAGGCAGAACUAAAUAUGAUCAAAUUAAAAGAUAGAUGAAACAAGAGGAUCUACUUUCUAGGAACAAGGAAAAGAUUUCAGAUCUUUAUUUAAACUGGUUUACUGAACAGAGAUUUUUUAGAAUCAGAAGAACAUUGAGGCAGGAAGGGACCUCAGAAGAGUGUCCAGCCCCAUCCUCCUGUUCAAAUUAGUAUGCUCAGGACUGUGUCCAGGGCUGUAAUCAUUGAUGCCAAAGGAAUGGAUCAGAGCUGAACGAUACCACUAGAAGUUUCCCACUUCUGCAGUCAGGGGUGUUAUAUAGGCCAGGCUAACAUCAAGACUACACAUUUGUUGUGCACAUUAAUAGGAAAUGUCAAAUAAUAACAAUGAAAUAAAAUUCAAAACUUAACU